rnacentral:misc_RNA from 1 species
GAUGAAGAACGUAGCGAAAUGCGAUAAGUAAUGUGAAUUGCAGAAUUCAGUGAAUCAUCGAAUCUUUGAACGCACAUUGCGCCGGCUAGUAGUCUGGCGGGCAUGCCUGUCCGAGCGUCAUUUCAACCCUCAAGCCCCCGGGCUUGGUGUUGGGGAUCGGCGAGCCUCCGCGCCCGCCGUCCCCUAAAUCUAGUGGCGGUCUCGCUGUAGCUUCCUCUGCGUAGUAGCACACCUCGCACUGGGAAACAGCGCGGCCACGCCGUUAAACCCCCAACUUCUGAACGUUUGACCUCGGAUCAGGUAGGAAUACCCGCUGAACUUAAGCAUAUCAUAAGCGGAGGA